AUUGAACGCUGGCGGCAGGCCUAACACAUGCAAGUCGGACGGUAGCACAGGGGAGCUUGCUCCUCGGGUGACGAGUGGCGGACGGGUGAGUAAUGUCUGGGGAUCUGCCCGAUAGAGGGGGAUAACCACUGGAAACGGUGGCUAAUACCGCAUAAUGUCGCAAGACCAAAGAGGGGGACCUUCGGGCCUCUCACUAUCGGAUGAACCCAGAUGGGAUUAGCUAGUAGGCGGGGUAACGGCCCACCUAGGCGACGAUCCCUAGCUGGUCUGAGAGGGCGGACGGACACACUGGAAGUGAGACACGGUCCAGACGCAUACGGGAGGCAGCAGUGGGGAAUUGUUCACAAUGGGCGCAAGCCUGAUGACGCAACGCCGCGUGGAGGAUGAAGACUUUCGGGUCGUAAACUCCUUUCGACCGAGAUGAAUGUCCCUCGACCCAACACGUCGAGGGAGUGACAGUAUCGAGGGAAGAAGCCCCGGCUAACUCUGUGCCAGCAGCCGCCGUAA
rnacentral:rRNA from 1 species